rnacentral:rRNA from 1 species
GACGAACGCUGGCGGCGUGCUUAACACAUGCAAGUCGAGCGGAAAGGCCCUUUCGGGGGUACUCGAGCGGCGAACGGGUGAGUAACACGUGAGUAAUCUGCCCUUGGCUUUGGGAUAACCACCGGAAACGGUGGCUAAUACCGGAUAUGACGCGCCCCGGCAUCGGGGUGUGUGGAAAGUUUUUUCGGCCAGGGAUGUGCUCGCGGCCUAACAGCUUGUUGGUGGGGUAAUGGCCUACCAAGGCUUCGACGGGUAGCCGGCCUGGGAGGGUGACCGGCCACACUGGGACUGAGACACGGCCCAGACUCCUACGGGAGGCAGCAGUGGGGAAUAUUGGACAAUGGGCGGAAGCCUGAUCCAGCAACGCCGCGUGAGGGAUGACGGCCUUCGGGUUGUAAACCUCUUUCAGUACCGACGAAGCGCCGAUGAUGGUGGUAACGGUAGGUACAGAAGAAGCACCGGCCAACUACGUGCCAGCCGCCGCUGUAA